AUAUUACUAAGCGGAGGAGAAGAAAUUAACUAAGAUUGCCUUAGUAAGGGCGACUGAACCGGCAAAAGCUCGAAAUUAAAAUCGGGAAUUCAAUGAAUUUUCGAAUUGUAACCAGGGUUGCCUAAAUACGGGAGGUCUCUCAAGAGUCUCGAAAGGCUCGCCAGAGGGGGUGCAAGCCCCGUUCAGGGAUCUCUCGAACAAGGUAAUUCAACGAAGAGUCGUGUUGCUUGGAACUGCAGCACUAAGUGGGAGAUAUAAUUCUUCCAAAGCUAAAUAUUGAUGGGAGACCGAUAGCGCACAAGUA
rnacentral:rRNA from 1 species